GACGAACGCUGGCGGCGUGCUUAACACAUGCAAGUCGAACGGAAAGGCCUGCUUUCCCUUGUGGAUUGCGGGUGCUCGAGUGGCGAACGGGUGAGUAACACGUGAGUUAUCUGCCCCCAACUUGGGUAUAAGCCUGGGAAACUGGGUCUAAUUCCCGAUAGGACUGCAGGGUGGUGCCUGUGGUGGAAAACGAUUUUCUAGUGGUUGGGGAUGAGCUCGCGGCCUAUCAGCUUGUUGGUGGGGUAAUGGCCUACCAAGGCGGCGACGGGUAGCCGGCCUGGGAGGGUGGACGGCCACAUUGGGACUGAGAUACGGCCCAGACUCCUACGGGAGGCAGCAGUGGGGAAUAUUGCACAAUGGGCGGAAGCCUGAUGCAGCGACGCCGCGUGGGGGAUGACGGCCUUCGGGUUGUAAACUCCUUUCGACCGCGAGGAAGCCACCUGGUUGGAAGGGUGGUGACGGUAGUGGUAGAAGAAGCACCGGCUAACUACGUG
rnacentral:rRNA from 1 species